rnacentral:rRNA from 1 species
CCUACGGGGGGCAGCAGUGGGGAAUAUUGGACAAUGGGCGAAAGCCUGAUCCAGCCAUGCCGCGUGUGUGAAGAAGGCCUUCGGGUUGUAAAGCACUUUCAGUGGGGAAGAAAGCCUUGGGGCUAAUACCCUCGAGGAAGGACAUCACCCACAGAAGAAGCACCGGCUAACUCCGUGCCAGCAGCCGCGGUAAUACGGAGGGUGCGAGCGUUAAUCGGAAUUACUGGGCGUAAAGCGCGCGUAGGCGGUCUGAUAAGCCGGUUGUGAAAGCCCCGGGCUCAACCUGGGAACGGCAUCCGGAACUGUCAGGCUAGAGUGCAGGAGAGGAAGGUAGAAUUCCCGGUGUAGCGGUGAAAUGCGUAGAGAUCGGGAGGAACACCAGUGGCGAAGGCGGCCUUCUGGACUGACACUGACGCUGAGGUGCGAAAGCGUGGGUAGCAAACAGGAUUAGAUACCCUGGUAGUC